UACAGGGGGUGCAAACGUUGCUCGGAAUUAUUGGGCGUAAAGCGCGCGUAGGCGGCUACCUAAGUCGGAUGUGAAAGCCCCUGGCUUAACUGGGGAAGUGCACCCGAAACUGAGUAGCUAGAGUGCGAAAGAGGGUCGCGGAAUUCCCGGUGUAGAGGUGAAAUUCGUAGAUAUCAGGAGGAACACCUAUUGCGAAGGCAGCUCGCUGGGACGUAACUGACGCUGAGACGCGAAAGCGUGGGGAGCAAACAGG
rnacentral:rRNA from 1 species